rnacentral:rRNA from 1 species
AACGAACGCUGGCGGCAUGCCUAACACAUGCAAGUCGAACGAGACCUUCGGGUCUAGUGGCGCACGGGUGCGUAACGCGUGGGAACCUGCCCUUAGGUUCGGAAUAACUCCCCGAAAGGGGUGCUCAUACCGGAUAAUCUCUUCGGACCAAAGAUUUAUCGCCUUUGGAUGGGCCCGCGUUGGAUUAGCUAGUUGGUAGGGUAAAAGCCUACCAAGGCGACGAUCCAUAGCUGGUCUGAGAGGAGGAUCAUCCACACUGGGACUGAGACACGGCCCAGACUCCUACGGGAGGCAGCAGUGGGGAAUAUUGGACAAUGGGCGAAAGCCUGAUCCAGCAAUGCCGCGUGAGUGAUGAAGGCCUUAGGGUUGUAAAGCUCUUUUACCCGGGAUGAUAAUGACAGUACCGGGAGAAUAAGCUCCGGCUAACUCCGUG